AACUAUUUUGGUUUUCUGGAUGAGCAUCUGUUAAUUCUUUUAAAAGUAACUGUCGCUGGUUGUUAAAUUUUGGGCAACUGAAAACAAGAUGUUGCAAAUCGGAAGAUUCUUCAGGACAAUGUUUACAGUGACUGUUCUCGUAGAUAUUGAUUCGAUGGAGAUGUGUAGGAAUAAGGCAGUGACCAAGCCGCAUUCUUGAUAAAAUUGUUAUGAAUUUCCGACUUCCUUUUGCGCCAAGUUUAUCAUACCACGGUCUUAUUGAAAGAAGUGACUGAGGAGAUAUAGUAGGCAUUGGCAUGAAGUGCAAAGCCUCUCUCAUAUUGUGAAGUUUAGUGUUGAGAUGAUUAUCUGAAGCUACUAACUUUAAAAAGAAUCUUUCUGCUAGUUGAAGCCUUCUAAGGAACAAAGGAGGACCUACUUCAUACAUACAUGGUUGAAUAUUUACAUAGAGGGAAACGGGAUAGUGGUAGCUGCCUAAAGGAUCAUCCUGAACCUGCCAAUUACACAAAUGAGCAAUCGAAGGACUAACAAGAGUGACAUCUAUUGCAGAAGCCUGUCUGUUGGGAUAUGGACAUGUUGUUGGAGUACCAUCAUUUAAUAUGCAAAAAUCUAAGUCAUCAAUUAAGUUAUAUAUAUUAUUUCCUCUAUUAUUAUUGCUAUUGCAACCAAAACUGAUAUGAUGUGCAUUAAAGUCACCCAUAAUUAUACAAGGUUUGGGAAUAUUAUUAAAAAUAUGCCUCAGUUUAUUAGUAUUAAAUCUGCCACUUUUAGGUGGACAAUAUACACAAAGUAUACUGAUAUUCCCUGACUUUGUCUCAAUACUUAUGGCUAUGUUUUGGAUAUUUUCAUGAAAAUUAGUGUUUAAUACAGAAUAUUUCAACCCAUGUUUAAUUAAAAUACC